rnacentral:rRNA from 1 species
AACGAACGCUGGCGGCAGGCCUAACACAUGCAAGUCGAGGGAGAAGCUGACUUCGGUCAGUGGACACCGGCGCACGGGUGCGUAACACGUGGGAACGUACCCUCAGGUACGGGAUAACAUGGGGAAACUCAUGCUAAUACCGUAUAAUAUCUCCGGAUCAAAGCUCCGGCGCCUGAGGAUCGGCCCGCGCCUGAUUAGCUAGUUGGUGAGGUAAGAGCUCACCAAGGCGACGAUCAGUAGCUGGUCUGAGAGGAUGAUCAGCCACACUGGGACUGAGACACGGCCCAGACUCCUACGGGAGGCAGCAGUGAGGAAUAUUGGACAAUGGGCGCAAGCCUGAUCCAGCCAUGCCGCGUGAGUGAAGAAGGCCUUCGGGUUGUAAAGCUCUUUCAGAUGUGAAGAUGAUGACGGUAGCAUCAGAAGAAGACCCCGGCUAACCUUCGUGCCAGCAGCCGCGGUAAUACGAAGGGGAC